UCUUUCUCUCUCUCACCCCUCCCUCACUCUUCCUCUCCCUCUAAAAGCAGUGAAAAAAUGUCCUUGGGUGAGGAUAAAAUAAAUAAAUAAAAAGCACAUGACUAAUACACAAGUUCACUGUGGGGUAGUAAAAAUACUGUUCAUAAAAGAUCUAGAAGAUGUCUUUCUCUGAACGAACACUCAGUAAAUGGUACUGAUCAUUCAGUCUGUUAUGGCCCAAGUGCUUUGCCAGGCAUUACGUAUAUAAAGGUAAGUAAACAAAAAGAUAUCACGUAAAUCCCAGUUUAUGUACUAGGAUGAGGCAAAGAAGAAAAAAGUCAAUUUGGGAAAGGAAGGAGGGGGCUGAGUUAUGCUGAAAAGGAGUUUGCCAGGCCUGAGAGGGAGGGAAGGGAAUUCUAAACAGGGGCAACAGAAAGAAUAAAGGCACGCAGUAUGCUGAAAGAGAUUAUGAGGACAUAGCAGAGAAUGCCACUCUAAAUGUCUACAGGAAACAGACAGGUAAUAUAAAUGAAGGAAACACAUGAGAUACAAUGCAGUGAAUGGCAAUAACUCUUGGCUUCAGUUGUGAGAAGACAAGAGUCCAGGAUUGCAGCAAACAGCUGAGUGCAAGGCCACUUAGAAUACUAGUGGUCCACACUACCCACUGUCACCUUCUGUCUUUAGUAGGAACUGGAUUUUAGCUAUUCACAUGGCCAUCCAGAUGGAGACCAUGCAUGCCCAGCCUUAUCUGCAGCCAAAUGCAGCCACACCAGUAGGCUCUGGCCAAUAGGAUGUGAGAUGAAAUGAUACAUGUAACUUCCAGGCUGGGUCUCGACGGAAUGCAUCCUCCCCCUCCCCUUCCUAUUACAGACUGGAGCAGACGCGAUGGUAGGAGACAAAGCAGCAUCUGGGACCACAAGACGGAACCCACUGCAGAGGCGGGAGAAGACAAGACGGAAGCAGCUGGAUCUCUGGCACUACGGAGCCGUCAUAGCUGUCCUGGGCAACGACGGCUUUGACUGUCAAAUGAGAGAAAAAUAGGUUUGCCUGGUUUAAAGCCACUUAUUUUGGUCUCUGUCACAAGAGUUGAACAUGCAUCUUGACCAACACUCUGACAUGCAUAUGGCAGCUAUUUCUCGGCUCCAGAGGAUUACUGCUACGAGGGAUUGUGGGCCCAGCGUUGUGCAUUUGCCCAAUUCUCCAAGAGAACGUGGAAACCUAGAGUUUCUCAUACUAUCUGACUUCUACAUAUUGACAACUGAUUCUGAUUUUCAGUGCCAUAUAGGCCCACAAAACCGGUCUGGGGACCAGUCGAAUUUCUGUUCCAUGGGCUUCUCUGAAACCAAGACUUUUCACUAGGACAACUAAAAUAAUUUAGGGUGGUAACAGGGAUGAGAUAUUCAGAGUCCUACAAGUUUGCGCAACUCAAGACAGUCCCCCAAACUCUCAUCACCCUCAAAUACGGUGUCCAGGGCAGCUCCGCUCCCCCAGAGAACUGCCUGCCAGCCCAAGAGUCGGCAGCUGCAACCACCAUGGAGUCUGACCUUGCCAGGUGCCUCACUGCGUGAGCCUCCCUGGGUGCCGAUGGCCUUUACCAGGGAGAACACUGACCCUUUCUUUCUUCCCUUCCCCCUCCUUUAUAAGAUCAAACAAUUUCUCAUGAGACAGGAUGGACAAGAGUAUCAUGGAAGAGUCACCCAUUUAGGCAAAAAACAAUCAAAGGUGAAAAAGGCAUCCCUUAGUUUCAUAAGUCUGGCAGCCUCACCAAACACGUUCACCCAGACAAGCAGCUCCUUGGAGGAGCUGGAGGAGUGGGAGGUGGCCUAAGAUACAGGGGAUGCAACAUCCAAUGCUCAUUUCAUGGCACCCAAUGAUGCGACAGGUGACAGAAAAACAGCCUAGUGGCAUCGGCACUGUGCAGAGCCCCAGUUUAAACUCGCUUCUAAACAGCAAGAACCUGUGGGAUGUGACCUCAGCAAAGCCCAUUUUGCACCCCUGGAAUUCAGGAGAAAGGUCUGUACAAAAGUCCAUAGUUAGGCAAUGUCCUCUGGCAAUAUCCUCAUUGCUAGCAGGGCAGCAACUCCAGCAAGGCGUUGGCUCACACAGGUUCGAACCACGUGCUAUCAUCACAAGACGAUGUAAAGAUAGGAGAAAUGCCACGGCAUGACUGUUGCACAAGCAGCACAGUGAGCAGAAUAAACACAAUCACCUUGGAGAAAAAGGCGUUCCUAUCUUCCACAUCAUCUGCCAUCUGAGGGGUUGGUCCUUAGUUCCGCGUGGAGCCUCGGUUCUCCGGGACCCUCCCUGGGUUAAGACAUCCAGGUUUGAAGGUAGGAGCUGCAGAGUUUCUCUCCGCACAGAGGGAGAAGGACGUGGGGGUGAAGAGCAUGAGUCAUCCAAGAGGGAAGGUGACAAAGCAAAUCAAGGUGGGGAGGAGGACAGUGUGGGAGGUCUGCUUGCGCUCACCAGGAACCUCUGCCCCCAUCACUGGUCAGUACCUAAAACCAACCCAACACUUGGGCAGGUUGGCUUAUUUUGGGCACUGGAGAUGGGCAGGAGCAAAGGGUAGAGGAGAUGGGUGAGAAGACCAAGAAUGCUGGCUCUCUGCAAAGUAAUGGAGAUAAAUGGGAGGCCUUUCGGCUCCUCAAACAGAGAUGCUGAUAUGCUGGGCGAUACGGCUAAUACUCUCAAGGGGCAGGGAGGCCCCUAGGACACCUGGGUAAGACCACCUUCCCCCAAACAAGAGUUAGGGCUUCUUACCGUGCCACUGUGGUAAACGAUUUACGUGAAUUUGUAUUUAAUUUUUCAAUAACCUCAAGAUGUGGAUAUAUUUUACAGACAGCUUUAAAAGGUUAAACGUUGUUUGCCAUCAGAAAGCUAACAGUAGCCAGGGCAAGACCUGUUUGGCUACAAAUUCUGUCAUUUUAGCUCAGAAGUGUGCCCAUAUUUAGCUUUCGGAAAGGGGAUUCAGGUUAGAUUCACGAAGCACAAGCCAUGCCAACACCCGGUGCCUCUGGAUACGCCACGCUGCUAAAGCCCUCGCUUCAGCAGUAUUCCUGACAACGGCGUAACUGAAUCUACUCAGGAGGGAACAUCGGGCAAGCCCAAUGUGUGGAGCAUCCCGCAAAACACCUCCCCUGGAUUCUUCAAAACUGUCAGGGUCCUGAAAGACAAAGGAAGACGGAGGAGCUGUCCCAGGUUAAAGGACACGAAAGAGACAUGACAACUAGACACAAUGUGUGACCCUGGGACUACAUCUCA